rnacentral:rRNA from 1 species
AUUGAACGCUGGCGGCAGGCCUAACACAUGCAAGUCGAGCGGAUGAAGAGAGCUUGCUCUCUGAUUUAGCGGCGGACGGGUGAGUAAUGCCUAGGAAUCUGCCUGGUAGUGGGGGAUAACGUCCGGAAACGGGCGCUAAUACCGCAUACGUCCUACGGGAGAAAGCAGGGGACCUUCGGGCCUUGCGCUAUCAGAUGAGCCUAGGUCGGAUUAGCUAGUUGGUGAGGUAAUGGCUCACCAAGGCGACGAUCCGUAACUGGUCUGAGAGGAUGAUCAGUCACACUGGAACUGAGAAACGGUCCAGAAUCCUACGGGAGGCAGCAGUGGGGAAUAUUGGACAAUGGGCGAAAGCCUGAUCCAGCCAUGCCGCGUGUGUGAAGAAGGUCUUCGGAUUGUAAAGCACUUUAAGUUGGGAGGAAGGGCAGUAAGUUAAUACCUUGCUGUUUUGACGUGACCGACAGAAUAAGCACCGGCUAACUUCGUGCCAGCCGCCGCGGUAAAAC